GUAACCUUGCUCCAAUGUAAUGGCUUUAAAGAAGAUCUUUUUGGUGCUGCACCAGCUCCUCGUCCACGCCCUCUUCCUUUCAUGUCAGCUGCUUUGCCACCCAACGGUGGAGGUGGAGGAGGUCCAACACCAGGAGCUCCAGGUGGAGGUGGAGGUCCAGGAGCUCCAGGUGGAGGUGGAGGUCCUGGAGCUCGACCUCCAGGAGGUGGUGGUGGAGGUGGUGCGCCAGCCAUAGGAGGUGGUGGGGGUGGGGCUCCAAAUGGGGGAGGAGGUGGAGGUGGGGCACUAGACAUUGGGGGUGGUGGUGGAGGUG
rnacentral:lncRNA from 1 species